rnacentral:misc_RNA from 1 species
GAAAUGCGAUAAGUAAUGUGAAUUGCAGAAUUCAGUGAAUCAUCGAAUCUUUGAACGCACAUUGCGCCCGCCAGUAUUCUGGCGGGCAUGCCUGUUCGAGCGUCAUUUCAACCAUCAAGCCCCCGGCUUGUGUUGGGGUCCUGCGGCUGCCCGCAGGCCCUGAAAAACAGUGGCGGGCUCGCUGUCACACCGAGCGUAGUAGCAUACAUUCUCGCUCAGGGCGUGCUGCGGGUUCCGGCCGUUAAACGACCUUCAUAACCCAAGGUUGACCUCGGAUCAGGUAGGAAGACCCGCUGAACUUAAGC